rnacentral:rRNA from 1 species
AGGACGAACGCUGGCGGCGUGCUUAACACAUGCAAGUCACGGGGGGUCCCGCAAGGGAUAACCGGCGAACGGGUGCGUAACACGUGAGCAACCUGCCUUUGUGUGGGGGAUAGCCGGGCUAACGCCCGGGUAAUACCGCAUACGGUCAUUUGGGGGAGUCCCUAGAUGAAGAAACCUCCGGGGCACAGAGAGGGGCUCGCGGCCUAUCAGCUAGUUGGCGGGGUAAUGGCCCACCAAGGCGACGACGGGUAGCU